GGGUUGUGAGGUUAAGCGACUAAGCGUACACGGUGGAUGCCCUGGCAGUCAGAGGCGAUGAAGGGCGUGCUAAUCUGCGAUAAGCGCCGGUAAGGUGAUAUGAACCGUUAUAACCGGCGAUACCCGAAUGGGGAAACCCAGUGUGACUCGUCACACUAUCAUUAACUGAAUCCAUAGGUUAAUGAGGCGAACCGGGGGAACUGAAACAUCUAAGUACCCCGAGGAAAAGAAAUCAACCGAGAUUCCCCCAGUAGCGGCGAGCGAACGGGGAGGAGCCCAGAGCCUGAAUCAGCAUGUGUGUUAGUGGAAGCGUCUGGAAAGGCGCGCGAUACAGGGUGACAGCCCCGUACACAAAAGCGCAUGUGCUGUGAGCUCGAUGAGUAGGGCGGGACACGUGGUAUCCUGUCUGAAUAUGGGGGGACCAUCCUCCAAGGCUAAAUACUCCUGACUGACCGAUAGUGAACCAGUACCGUGAGGGAAAGGCGAAAAGAACCCCGGCGAGGGGAGUGAAAAAGAACCUGAAACCGUGUACGUACAAGCAGUGGGAGCNNNNNNNNNNNNNNNNNNNNNNNNNNNNNNNNNNNNNNNNNNNNNNNNNNNNNNNNNNNNNNNNNNNNNNNNNNNNNNNNNNNNNNNNNNNNNNNNNNNNNNNNNNNNNNNNNNNNNNNNNNGGGUAACACUAACUGGAGGACCGAACCGACUAAUGUUGAAAAAUUAGCGGAUGACCUGUGGCUGGGGGUGAAAGGCCAAUCAAACCGGGAGAUAGCUGGUUCUCCCCGAAAGCUAUUUAGGUAGCGCCUCGUGAAUUCAUCUCCGGGGGUAGAGCACUGUUUCGGCUAGGGGGCCAUCCCGGCUUACCAACCCGAUGCAAACUGCGAAUACCGGAGAAUGUUAUCACGGGAGACACACGGCGGGUGCUAACGUCCGUCGUGAAGAGGGAAACAACCCAGACCGCCAGCUAAGGUCCCAAAGUCAUGGUUAAGUGGGAAACGAUGUGGGAAGGCCCAGACAGCCAGGAUGUUGGCUUAGAAGCAGCCAUCAUUUAAAGAAAGCGUAAUAGCUCACUGGUCGAGUCGGCCUGCGCGGAAGAUGUAACGGGGCUAAACCAUGCACCGAAGCUGCGGCAGCGACACUGUGUGUUGUUGGGUAGGGGAGCGUUCUGUAAGCCUGCGAAGGUGGCCUGUGAGGGUUGCUGGAGGUAUCAGAAGUGCGAAUGCUGACAUAAGUAACGAUAAAGCGGGUGAAAAGCCCGCUCGCCGGAAGACCAAGGGUUCCUGUCCAACGUUAAUCGGGGCAGGGUGAGUCGACCCCUAAGGCGAGGCCGAAAGGCGUAGUCGAUGGGAAACGGGUUAAUAUUCCCGUACUUGGUGUUACUGCGAAGGGGGGACGGAGAAGGCUAUGUUGGCCGGGCGACGGUUGUCCCGGUUUAAGCGUGUAGGUGUGUGUUCCAGGUAAAUCCGGUUCACUUUAACACUGAGGCGUGACGACGAGGCACUACGGUGCUGAAGCAACAAAUGCCCUGCUUCCAGGAAAAGCCUCUAAGCAUCAGGUAACAUCAAAUCGUACCCCAAACCGACACAGGUGGUCAGGUAGAGAAUACCAAGGCGCUUGAGAGAACUCGGGUGAAGGAACUAGGCAAAAUGGUGCCGUAACUUCGGGAGAAGGCACGCUGACACGUAGGUGAAGUGAUUUACUCAUGGAGCUGAAGUCAGUCGAAGAUACCAGCUGGCUGCAACUGUUUAUUAAAAACACAGCACUGUGCAAACACGAAAGUGGACGUAUACGGUGUGACGCCUGCCCGGUGCCGGAAGGUUAAUUGAUGGGGUCAGCGCAAGCGAAGCUCCUGAUCGAAGCCCCGGUAAACGGCGGCCGUAACUAUAACGGUCCUAAGGUAGCGAAAUUCCUUGUCGGGUAAGUUCCGACCUGCACGAAUGGCGUAAUGAUGGCCAGGCUGUCUCCACCCGAGACUCAGUGAAAUUGAACUCGCUGUGAAGAUGCAGUGUACCCGCGGCAAGACGGAAAGACCCCGUGAACCUUUACUAUAGCUUGACACUGAACAUUGAGCCUUGAUGUGUAGGAUAGGUGGGAGGCUUUGAAGUGUGGACGCCAGUCUGCAUGGAGCCGACCUUGAAAUACCACCCUUUAAUGUUUGAUGUUCUAACGUGGACCCGUUACCCGGGUUGCGGACAGUGUCUGGUGGGUAGUUUGACUGGGGCGGUCUCCUCCUAAAGAGUAACGGAGGAGCACGAAGGUUGGCUAAUCCUGGUCGGACAUCAGGAGGUUAGUGCAAUGGCAUAAGCCAGCUUGACUGCGAGCGUGACGGCGCGAGCAGGUGCGAAAGCAGGUCAUAGUGAUCCGGUGGUUCUGAAUGGAAGGGCCAUCGCUCAACGGAUAAAAGGUACUCCGGGGAUAACAGGCUGAUACCGCCCAAGAGUUCAUAUCGACGGCGGUGUUUGGCACCUCGAUGUCGGCUCAUCACAUCCUGGGGCUGAAGUAGGUCCCAAGGGUAUGGCUGUUCGCCAUUUAAAGUGGUACGCGAGCUGGGUUUAGAACGUCGUGAGACAGUUCGGUCCCUAUCUGCCGUGGGCGCUGGAGAACUGAGGGGGGCUGCUCCUAGUACGAGAGGACCGGAGUGGACGCAUCACUGGUGUUCGGGUUGUCAUGCCAAUGGCACUGCCCGGUAGCUAAAUGCGGAAGAGAUAAGUGCUGAAAGCAUCUAAGCACGAAACUUGCCCCGAGAUGAGUUCUCCCUGAGACUUAGAGUCUCCUGAAGGAACGUUGAAGACGACGACGUUGAUAGGCCGGGUGUGUAAGCGCAGCGAUGCGUUGAGCUAACCGGUACUAAUGAACCGUGAGGCUUAACCUUACAACGCCGAAG
rnacentral:rRNA from 1 species